UCGGCAUCCAGCAAGUCAUCCCAAAUUUUGCAGAUGGAAGAAACGCACCUCCUGGUUUUUACAUAAUUUUUUUUAUAUCUCUGCCAGUAAGCUACCUUUCUGCUUCUCUAGUCAAGCGUUUCUCUUCCUACGCAGCUUCUUCAGACAGUUUUAAUUUUGAAGCUCCGCAUCUUUCACAUUCCUGCGUUCGUGCUCCAUUGGAAACCUGGCCUCGCCAACCAACAAAACAGCCAUGUAGCAGAAGUGGUAGGAGGCACCAGCAGCUGCACCUCUAUACCCCAGCAGAGACAGCAGCUGCCUGUCUUCAGUGACUUGUCCAGGCAGAAGAAGGACAGUUGCACCGGCACCUAGACCUGCUUUCCCUCCUCUACGAAAGGAGAAAGCUGGAAGGAAGGAAAGGUCGAGAGUGACCGCGGCAAAAGCGAGGACUUGGCCCGGGUCAGGACUGCCGACUGGUGCUGCCGCGGUGCUCGCAGCUCUCGGGGCCGCACGGCGGAGCAGGUCUGCUCUCGGCAUCGCCAGGCGCUUCCUCAGGGACGCUGAGCACGUUAAGCUGUAAGUACCUCAUCUGGGAAAGGGAGCAAACCUAUUUUUAGUCGUGUUCCCCCCCCCCCCCCCCCCCCCCCCGCCCCCAAGAGUCUAAAACAGAGCUAGAUAAGAUUAACGGACAUUUGUGGAGAUUACCAAGAGUUAAAAGUAGAGGUCAAACUCCCACGGUGCUCAUUCUCUUUUAGCCUACAGUGACUAAAUUUUUGAGGUGAAGGAAGGGGAAACAAUGAGGAGCGUUUUGUCUGUCUGAAAUCUUUGGGGAUUUAAAAACCCCAAACCUUUAAAUAAUGCUAUGAAGAGAUUACAGCUGAUGCCCAAUGUUUUACUUUUCAAAAAAAGUCCUUUGUUCAAGGAGACUCCUGCAAAAAUGUGUUGUCUUAGACCAGGGUGCUUGAAAACGUACCAUUUCAGAAUAAUUAUUAUGCUCCAUCUUUUCUGAACAAACUGGACUUGUGGUAAUACAGACCUUCACAUUUUCUAGCUUGCACUGUUACUCAUGACACUGCCUGUGUACAUCUUUAUUUCUCAGCAGUUCAGGUUCAUUUUUCACCUUCAGUAUUAUAGAAAGGGGAGAUCGGUGAUUUUCAGCUUUAUUUCUUUGGAUCCUACGAUGCCUGGGGACUUGCCUAAACAAUAGUUUCAACUUCUGGUUAAUACACAGAUCCUUGCAGCUUUUCCAGAGCGAGGAAAGGCUCUAAGGUUUGCAGCAAAGUUUCCUCCUUCCUUACUUUUGUGGAUGCCCAUAGCCUGUGCUGCCUGUUUAGAAAAGAACUUGGCUUUGAAGGCAAAAGACACAUUAAGAAUAGGAAGGCUGAGGGUUUUUUUUUUAUUGCAUGAUGUAGGAAAAUGGAACAUGUUGCAAAGGCCCUGAUUUUUGUGUGAAUGUGAAUGCUGACCGAUAGGACCUGCGCUAGAUUUCAAACUACAGGUUGGCACAAUGCAGCACACAGUUUUUCCAAUCCAGACAGACUAGAACAAUUUUUUGCACCAACGUUAAGGACUUUAUAACUAUGCAAAAUCAGCACUAAUGGUUGGAUUAAUAUUUUAAUAAUUACACACUUUUUACAUUAUGAAAAUAAAUCAUAAAUAGUGUAAAAAUAAUUCUGAAGAUCAACUUCUCACAAGCAAGAAACAAAACCCGAAGUACAAAACUGAAAGAAAACAAAACAGUAUUCAACUGAAAAACAAGGAGAAAUUUUAAUAAUAAAAACAAAAGCAUGCUGUUUGAUAGGGUUCAAUUAAGUCAGGACCAGAGGCCACAAGAAAGUGGUAAUUAAUAACAAAUUAAAAUGGGUGAUUAAAACCUUGCAAUUCUUUACGCUACUCAUCAAAAGAGGUCUCAUGACAUAUUUACAGUGCUAAGACACUCAAAAUACUUCUACUGUUGAUAACAUGAUACUGACCCAUGUGUUUCCCCCCCCAAGCAUUGUAAUCCUUGCCAAAUUACUUUUCUUUGUAUUUUUAUCUCUUCUACUGCGUUUAUGAGACCAUUUGGAAUACAAAAAUAACGGCACAUAUAGAUGAACUUAAAAAAGUAAAAAAUACAAAUAAAAAUAUAUAAUAUUUUCCAAAGGAAAAAGUCAGAUACAUACAUCUUAGUAACAUUUUUAAAGUUGUGUGAUAUUUUCCCAAACAUGUACAAUAAUAUAAGAAUAUCCACAUAUAUGUUAACAAUAUGUAAAACAUUCUUCCACCAACCCAACUCUUCAUAAUACUUCAGAGAAGUGUGCAAGUACCAAUGGUAUCUGGGAAAUUCAUACAAUUUCUUUUUUAAAUAGAAACAAGUAAAACACUAACGGUCCCAGGUUAAGUUAAGGCCCCCUGUUUUCCAAAGAAAAUUCAAUUUCCAAGCAGCAUUGAUAAUUGGAUGCAUUUAAAAACAAAAUGAAACAAAAACAACACUCCAAAUCCUUUUUUUAAAUACAAGCUCCACUUGUUUUGUGGAGUAUCUUUUUCAAAUUCUGUCAGAAAUGAUGGUGGCAGGCACUUGUUUCUAACAGCAUUUAAUGAAUCCAACCACCAUGUAAAAUAUUUUAAUAACAGAGGGUGCAAGAAAACCUUCAUUUGUACACUACAGCAACAUUCAGAUCCAUAAAAGCAAGUUGCAGAAAGAAAAAAAAAAAAAAAUCAGGUGUUGGUUUUAAUUCUGGUUACUGAAACUGAAUCAUUUUUUGCAAUGACUAAAACCUACUUUCUUUUGACCACUAUCUUUGCAGAUACUCGUGUUUUGUGUGACUCCCGUGUGAAUAUUUAGGUCUCUCAUUAGGUAAACUACAGUGAUUUAAAAAUGUAAUUUAAGAUGGUCAAGCAGCAGGGAUUAGGAAACUUGAAAGGAAAGGUCAACUUCUGCAUGCCUUGAAC
ensembl:lncRNA